AUUUAGAUUGUUUUAUAAAGGGAAAACUUCAAAAACUCCCCCGUGGUUUCGUAGUUUCUCACUUUGCCCUCCUGUGGUUUUUUUUUUUUUUUUUUUCUUAUCAAUUUUAUUUUUUUUCUUAAAUCAGUGAUAAAGUUAAUUUAAAGGGUACUAAAGUGAAUAUUUGAUAAAUCUAGAUGGGUAUCUGAAGUUUUUUGUAUAUAAUUUAAUAAAAUAUUAACGAAAAAGUUACCGAAAAGAUAAAAAUAAAACCACAUGGGGACAAUUUGAUACAUUUAAACCACAGAAUGAUAAAGUGAGAAACUACGAAACUAUAUGGAAUUUUUUGAAGUUUUUCCUUUUAUAAACC
rnacentral:lncRNA from 1 species